rnacentral:lncRNA from 1 species
ACAAUGUACAGAGAAAACUCUUUGUGGGUAUUUUAUCCGCUUUUUGUGCAUCCAUUCAUGAAUAUGUGGGUUGUAUGAGUGACUCCCCAAUCAGAAACUUUUAUGAGGUAUAACAAGUAGUUUAAACUUCUGACAGUUAAAUAAAUUAUAUCAUUCGGGUAAAGAAAUCUAUCCCUAGAUUAAGAAUUCCAGUCAGCCGAGUUUGUGAAGUAUACAAACCCCAGCUCCCCUAAUACACGCUUAAAGGUGGAGCUACCAGUUGUAAUUUGUAGUUUGACUUUCAAAAAGAGAGAUGGAAAUUGGAAAAAACCCCAUUUUUUAAAAUUUUCUUGUUAAUGGUACUACUUUAAAUUGGCCAGUAUCAGUUUUGACCUUAGCAACUAUUAAUAAGGGCAUGUGGCAACUUGACUUAACCUACCAUCUGAUUAGAAUAUUUUCCAGUGAUGUUUAAUGUCCUUUGAAAAUGGCACCUUAGUUGUUUGGCUAACUGUAUAUCUAACAGCAUAUCUUUCAGUAUAUGCUGUCUAUGGCUCUAGUAGCACAUCAUGAUGAAGGAAAUCAUUAUUAUUUGUAAAUAAAGGUAAGCUAUGGCAUAUGCUAAUUAUUCCUCUCCAGUGCAUAAAAAUAUUUGGAGCAUCCUGUAUUUUUAAGAGUAGUUCUAUCUAGCGACAGUUUUCACCAAAAGUAUGUGUGACAUAUUUUGUUGUGUAAAAUUAUUAUUAUUCAUUACAUAAGUACAUUCAUGAUACCAGCCAUAUUGUAUUGUCUAAAGUGUAAACACCUUAUGUGCAACUCCACUCUAUUGUGUAAAAUAAUAAUUUGUGACACCUUUUCCACAGUCCUAUACGGAGUCAUUUUCAUGAUAAAAGAAGUACUUUAUUAGAUUACAUCAUAAGGAACCCUUUGUUAAAGUACAUAUAAUUCAGAGUUCUUCAUUUUUCAGAUUUCCAUAUGUAUUUUAUACUGCUUUUAAAAAACAUUUGUGCCAUAUAUUUUUGUUUGUUUGGUUGGUUGGUUGGUUUUGGUUUUUGGUUUUUCGAGACAGGGUUUCUCUGUGUAGCCCCGGCUGUCCUGGAGCUCACUUUGUAGACCAGGCUGGCCUCGAACUCAGAAAUCCACCUGCCUCUGCCUCCCAAGUGCUGGGAUUAAAGGCGUGUGCCACCACCACCCAGCUUUUUAAUUAAUUAAUUAAUUAAUUAAUUAAUUAUUUUGUACCAUAGAGUUUUGAGACUUGGGUCUUAUAUUGAAGGUGAAUGUCAAGAAAUGGUAGGCCAAUUUCAACAUUUUUGUUUCUAGAACUUGAUAAACUUUCUUCAUGUAGACUGAAAGCCCACUUUAUCUUCUUUCCUCUUUAGUAUAUAUGGUAAUUUGUUUCCUGUAUAGGAACCUCAAAUUCUUCAGUGGAUUUGGGAGAUGAAAUUGAGCUAGAUAAUUAAAAGUUUAGAUUCAGAAAUGUAAGUAAAAUUAAACUUUGCAUUCAUAUGACCUCAAGGCAUCUACAGAUGUUUUAAUGGAGGAGUCAAACUUCUAUACACAUGUCAGUUCUUUAGAGUGGGAUUUGACUUGAGAUGUCUUUUAUUUGGGCCUUGAACAGAGAAUACCACUAAGUGUGGAGUUUCUUUUUAAAUAGAAAUAUGCAUGUGGAAUGCUGUUGCCACAGAAAAGAUUAUGCAAGCAUCCUAGCUUUGCUCAGGACAUCCAAGUUCACAGAGAAAUAUUUGUGACUUCAAUUGCUACCCAGAUUUCUGUUUUGUUUUUGUUCCUGGUGAGUGUGUGUGUUUGUGUGUAUGUGUGUAUGUAUGUUGAUCAACUCAUGAUUUGUUGGUUUAAGCAAAAUAGUACAAGAAUAAUUUUGAGCUUAUAUCACAUUUUAAAGAGUUUUUUAAACUUUAUAGUCAGCCAUUGCCCUCUCACAAUUAAAGAUGCUGUCCUGCUAUCAGCUGACAGACAUGAGUCUGGUCUUUAGUACAUUCUAUGUGGCAGACAGAACACUAAUGAAGGCUUUGGACUUCUUGUCCUUGCACAAACAUACUUCUUGUGGCUUCAUUCCAAUUUGAAAGUCAUGUGUUUUGGAGUCUUUUUGAGACUGUUAGCAUGCUUGAAAAAACUUGCAAAAAGAAACUAAGGAUGACCUGAUUAUUUCUUACAGAUAGAAGUUAUUAUUAUUAGUUUAGUCAGCUCCCACAGCUUCUCACAUGAGAACUAUUCUUAUUGCCUGAUUUGUCACAGGUACAGAAUCUUGAACAAUCCAAACAAAUCACAGAAUUACCCAAAAUGGAUCACGAGAGUCCAGGAAUUGCCAAAAGUAUUUAUUUUCUUUUUAACCAACUUUCUUUUUUUAAACUUCACUGUGUAUAUAUAUAUGAAAUUCUCAAAGAAUAAAAAAUAAAUAAACAAACCAUGCUCUCCUUUCAAAACACUGGGUUCAACUCCACAUAUGAAGCUAAUAUAAGCUGUUUCAGAGAGACUCACAUUGCAGACUCUUGUGCUCAGUUGACUUGCAGUCCUAGAAUGGAAGGCUAAGGUUAACCCUCUUACCAACCACUGUCAGAGAAUUCAAUGAUAGUUAUGAAUAGUUGGAUAAAAGGGAAAAAGGGCAUUUUUCGGAAAUGAAUCAGAAAAAUUAUUUAAGACUGAUAUGUACACGUAGGAUUUUUAAGUGAUGAAUAUAUAAAACAAUUCUCAUCUAAAAUUUGAUGAACAGUGAUAUCCUACUUUAAAUUAAAGAGGUUGUUUCAGUUAUCAAGCCUUAUUCAGAAAUAAAAUUACUGAAAACAGUUCUGUAUAUUUCUUAACUAUUCACAUUGAAACAAAAUAGGGAAAUGUUCUGAACUCACUCUGAACUCAAGCUUUUGUCUUUAAAGCCCUCCCUUUGUCUUGGCUAAUGGGGCAAUCUCUAAGAAGGGAAAAAUGGGUUGCAUAAUAAGGUAAGGAGACAUCUGGGACCUAUUUUUAGAUUGAGUAAAAGGCAUCUGAAUGAAUAUUUCCAGAAGGUGUCUGGGAAGAAGACAUAUAGGAGCCAAAGGUCAGUAGACAAGGGUAAGACCUAUUUCCAAAUGACUUCACUUUACAAGCACAGCUAGGGUCUUGGAGGAAAUCCACUCUGGACAAUUGUACCUCUUAUACAGUUAUCCUGCUGUGUCUUCUUUGCCUUCUUGAUAAGAACAUGAAGAUGUCUUGUCAAAUACACAUAUGCACACACACAUACACACACACACACAUGUAUACACACACACACAUACACACACACACAUAUGUAUACACACACACAUACACACACACACACACACACACAUAUAUAUAUAUAUGUAUAUAUAUAUAUAUAUGAGACAAGAGGAAUACUAGGCUAUAUUAAAGGGUCAGAAAUUGCCAGGCGUGAUGGCAUAUGCCUUUAAUCCCAGCACUUGGGAGGCAGAGGCAGGUGAAUUUCUGAGGCCAGCCUGGUCUACAGAGUGAGUUCCAGGACAGCCAGGACUACACAGAAAAACUCUGUCUUGAUAAACCAAAAUAAAAU